UGCAGUCGACGAUGAACCGCUUUCGGGCGGGGAUUAGUGGCGAACGGGUGAGUAACACGUGGGCAAUCUGCCCUGCACUCUGGGACAAGCCCUGGAAACGGGGUCUAAUACCGGAUAUGACUGUCCAUCGCAUGGUGGAUGGUGUAAAGCUCCGGCGGUGCAGGAUGAGCCCGCGGCCUAUCAGCUUGUUGGUGAGGUAGUGGCUCACCAAGGCGACGACGGGUAGCCGGCCUGAGAGGGCGACCGGCCACACUGGGACUGAGACACGGCCCAGACUCCUACGGGAGGCAGCAGUGGGGAAUAUUGCACAAUGGGCGAAAGCCUGAUGCAGCGACGCCGCGUGAGGGAUGACGGCCUUCGGGUUGUAAACCUCUUUCAGCAGGGAAGAAGCGAAAGUGACGGUACCUGCAGAAGAAGCGCCGGCUAACUACGUGCCAGCAGCCGCGGUAAUACGUAGGGCGCAAGCGUUGUCCGGAAUUAUUGGGCGUAAAGAGCUCGUAGGCGGCUUGUCACGUCGGUUGUGAAAGCCCGGGGCUUAACCCCGGGUCUGCAGUCGAUACGGGCAGGCUAGAGUUCGGUAGGGGAGAUCGGAAUUCCUGGUGUAGCGGUGAAAUGCGCAGAUAUCAGGAGGAACACCGGUGGCGAAGGCGGAUCUCUGGGCCGAUACUGACGCUGAGGAGCGAAAGCGUGGGGAGCGAACAGGAUUAGAUACCCUGGUAGUCCACGCCGUAAACGGUGGGCACUAGGUGUGGGCAACAUUCCACGUUGUCCGUGCCGCAGCUAACGCAUUAAGU
rnacentral:rRNA from 1 species